rnacentral:rRNA from 1 species
UAGGGAAUCUUUGGCAAUGGACGAAAGUCUGACCGAGCAACGCCGCGUGAGUGAAGAAGGUUUUCGGAUCGUAAAACUCUGUUGUUAUAGAAGAACAAAGACGUUAGUAAUUGAACGUCCCCUGACGGUAUCUAACCAGAAAGCCACGGCUAACUACGUGCCAGCAGCCGCGGUAAUACGUAGGUGGCAAGCGUUGUCCGGAUUUAUUGGGCGUAAAGCGAGCGCCGGCGGUUUAUUAAGUCUGAUGUGAAAGCCCCCGGCUCAACCGGGGGGGGUCAUUGGAAACUGGGGGACUUGAGGGCAGAAGAGGGGAGUGGAAUUCCAUGUGUGGCGGUGAAAUGCGUAGAUAUAUGGAGGAAGACCAGUGACGAAGGCGGCUCUCUGGUCUGUAACUGACGCUGAGGCUCGAGGGCGUGGGGAGCAAACAGG